UGGCGGCACGCCUAACACAUGCAAGUCGAACGAAGUAGUAAUACUUAGUGGCAGACGGGUGAGUAACAUGUAGGUAUCUGCCCUUUGGCCUGGAAUAACACGAGGAAACUUGUGCUAAUACCGGAUAAGUCUUUACAGAGAAAGCUUUAUGCACCAUUGGAUGAGCCUGCACUUGAUUAGUUUGUUGGUGGGGUAAUGGCCUACCAAGACUGUGAUCAAUAGCUGAUUUGAGAGGAUGAUCAGCCACAUUGGGACUGAGACACGGCCCAAACUCCUACGGGAGGCAGCAGUGGGGAAUCUUGCACAAUGGAGGAAACUCUGAUGCAGCGAUGCCGCGUGAGUGAAGAAGGCCUUUGGGUUGUAAAGCUCUUUCGUCGGGGAAGAAAAUGACUGUACCCGAAUAAGAAGGUCCGGCUAACUUCGUGCCAGCAGCCGCGGUAAUACGAAGGGACCUAGCGUAGUUCGGAAUUACUGGGCUUAAAGAGUUCGUAGGUGGUUGAAAAAGUUGGUGGUGAAAUCCCAGAGCUUAACUCUGGAACUGCCAUCAAAACUUUUCAGCUAGAGUAUGAUAGAGGAAAGCAGAAUUUCUAGCGUAGAGGUGAAAUUCGUAGAUAUUAGAAAGAAUACCAAUUGCGAAGGCAGCUUUCUGGAUCAUUACUGACACU
rnacentral:rRNA from 1 species